rnacentral:rRNA from 1 species
CUACGGCAGGCUUAACACAUGCAAGUCGAGGGGCAGCAUAACACUUCGGUGUUGAUGGCGACCGGCGCACGGGUGCGUAACACGUAUAGAACCUACCCAUAACAGGGGGAUAGCCCAGAGAAAUUUGGAUUAAUACCCCAUAGUGUAUUAAUGAGGCAUCUCAUUUUUAUUAAAGAUUUAUCGGUUAUGGAUGGCUAUGCGUCCUAUUAGUUUGUUGGUGAGGUAAUGGCUCACCAAGGCUACGAUAGGUAGGGGUUCUGAGAGGAAUGUCCCCCACACUGGUACUGAGACACGGACCAGACUCCUACGGGAGGCAGCAGUGAGGAAUAUUGGACAAUGGGCGCAAGCCUGAUCCAGCCAUGCCGCGUGCAGGAAGAAGGCUUUCUAGUUGUAAACUGCUUUUAUUCACGAGGAAUAUGUCCCUUGCGAGGGAUUUUGACGUUAGUAUUUGAAUAAGCACCGGCUAACUCCGUGCCAGCAGCCGCGGUAAUACGGAGGGUGCAAGCGUUAUCCGGAAUCAUUGG